ensembl:lncRNA
UUUCCAUUUACAUUCGGGAAACUGAAAACCGCUUGAUAGUUUCCGAAGUUCAUCUGAAAUGUUUCCCAAUCAUGAUGAUGCCAACUGAAUAGUGAUUGAGAAGGUAAAUGCUGCUUUGGCAGAAUUAAAAUAAUUAUUGUUGCCUCUUCCAUGAGCAUUUGAACUAAGUAAUGGAGGUUGUAAGAGGUCUUUUUGCCGACUACACAACAGCGACCACUUCACACUCCUUUUUGGACCAAAGGUAGGGCUAUUGGAGCUUCAAGUAAUAUUUUUAUUGUAAGAAAUGUGACAUUGCAUUGAAAUUAUUUUUAUAAAUGUAUAUUAAUAUGAAGUAAUACCUUUUCUGUUGUGUCUUCAGCAGUUUGUUCUGUAUUAGGCUCAGGAUUGUACUUUGGUUUUGGUUCGUGUUUUGUUUUUGACAGGUCCAUUGCUGUGUCUGGAAUCAUCUGCUGAUGUGUUUAACUUCUGGACUUUGUGAUGGCUGUGGCAGUACUUCAGGUGGGUAAAAGUAUUUUGUCUUAUGUUUGUCCUGCUUUCUCGAUGUUUUCUGUGCCCAUUCUUCUUUCUGGCUGAAGAACUUUUCUUUAGGUUCUGGAUCACGGUAAGGCAGUAACAGAUUGUUGUUAAUUAUGAGUUCUUUGUAUCUGCCUUGGAGGGAUCCAUACAUGUUCUGUAUGAAGUCAGCAGGACGCAGAAAACCGGCUAAGAUCCCCAAGAAGAACUCCACUCCACAGCGGGAAAAUGCUCAUGUAGUUGUUCAUGAGGAAGUCGAUGAGCUCUGGACAGAAAAAGAUCCAGGGCAGUUUUGGCUGCAUUCACCACAUCUGUCUCCUUUUCUGAUGUGAAAAGAACAGACAUAUUUUCAAAUACAGCUGUUGCCUCUUCUAGAUGUGUGCUGUUUAACAAGGCAAAGCAGUAGGUGGCAUACUCUUUUAAAGCCUUGUUGUCAGUCUUUCUUGAAAAUGCCUGACACACUGCCUUAACAAUAUGUGAAUAGCAAAGAUGUAAGACUGUGAGUUGAAGAUCACCACUGUUUGCUUUGUUCAAAACAAUGCAGUGAGCUCUUUGUAAAUACAGCAAAAUGCUCUCUUUGUUGAAUGCCAGAAGGACACUUCAAAUUAGUCCACAGCUGAAGUCAGUCUCCACUUGAUGGACAUGGCAUGAUGUUAUUUGACCAAGAGCCCUUAAUGUUUCCAUUAGCCUGGUAUUAGGCUGGUAUUGGUGCUGAUGUGUUUCUGGACUUUGUGAUGGCUGUGGCAGUACUUCAGGUGGGUCAAAGUAUUUUGUCUUAUGUUUGUCGUGUUUUCUUUGUUUUCUUGCCCAUUCUUCUUUCUGGCUUUUCUUUAGGUUCUGGAUCACGGUAAGGCAGUAACAGAUUGUGGUUAAUUGUUUCAUCUGCCAUUACAAAACAAACUUACUUAAACAUCCCCGUUCCUGGAAGCACAAGACCAUAGUACAGCACUCUUUUGAGCUACUGGGAAUUUGGGAAACAAUACAGUUGGCUGCAAUCUAUGUAAACUGUGACUGUUGGUUUUUAACUUCUUGAUUUUUAACUUUUUUUUUUAUUUAUUUAUUUUUUUUAAACUUUUUUUUAUUUUAGAUGAACUGAUUACAUGCCCAGCAAAUGGGAUUCAGCGGAUGGAUUUGUUAAAAUGACCAUAAUUUCAUUUUUAUUUCAUUUGAAAUCACUUUCCAUUUCACUUUCCACCUAAUCCACCAAAAUCAAUCUCAUUUAAUUUUAAAUCGUCACAUCACAGGCCAGGAGUGCGUUUACCAAAAGCAGGUAGCUAGGUUGCAUUCUGCUCAAUUGGUAACAAUGGAACUUGCCACCAUCGUUGCUUUUGGGAAAACUCACCCCAGAAUAUAUGCCCUGUGAAAUCAUCUUUCGGUUCCUCCUUCCCCUCCUAAUCAAGACUUGAUUAUUUAAACUUUUUUUAAUAUUUGUUUUAAAUGAGUACUGUUUAACUUUUUUUUUUUAUUAUUAUUGUUUUUUUUUUUAUCUGCUUUAAUGUUUUUCCUAUUAAGUUGUAAUUAUGGAAUGUUUAAUUUUAGAGGUUUUUUUUUUUUAAUCCCUUGCUUCUAUCCCUUGCUUUAAUCCCUUGCUUCACUGGAGAAAAGCCUUUCACCUGCCAACAGUGUGGAAAAAGUUUCAAUCAAAAAGGAAACCUUAACAGGCACAUGGGAAUUCACACCAGGGAGAAGCAGACUGCAUCAUAUCGCCUGGAUGAUUAUCCUUUGGAGUAAAUGUGAUCACUAAAUUACACACCACCACGGUUUUUUGAAGCAGAUGUAUUAGUGAAGUCCCGUCUCUUCACCCGCACAAACGCACCGAGGCACGGAAGAUACUGUCCUAUUUCUUGUUAGGAAACCUGUGGACUCGAUGUCCUGACAGGCUGGAGUUAGUGCAUCCUCCACAAACACAACAAUUUACCAUGACGAUGAUAAAUUAAAAAAAAAAUAAAAUAAAAAAAAAUACAGAAAACA